UGGCGUCGGCUUUCAUGGAGACUUCUCUGACUUCCUUCUCGACCCUCUCUUUUGCUUUUUUGAGCAUCUCAGCUUCAAACCCAGACUUCUUUGCCUCUUUGGCCAGCUCAUGUGAGCUUUCAAUAUAUCCGUUCAAAUAAUGGAUGAGCUGAUAAGUGAAGAAAAAUUAAUAAGUAAUAAAUGAGCAUACAGUAAGUGCUAAAUGAGAAAGGUUCAAUAUACUCGAGUGAGACAAUCCAUGGCUCCUCUCCUCAUCUCCCUCUGAGGAACGCUCAGCAGCUCGUUCACGUCGGCAGGGAGGAUCAGUUCGGAGAGUAGUUCACUUGCCAAUGAGGGAUCCCUUAGCAUUGAGGCCUCAAGCUUUAGCCCAGCUGGCACAGUUUCAGACAUGCCGGCCACCUCAGCUGGUGUCUCAUCCGAGGAGGAUCCAACAGUGGAUGAAGUUGGUCGGGUCAGUGAGCUGGGGGAGCAGGUAGGCUCAGAAUUACCUCCUCCAGACCUUGAUCUACAUAGCCCACCCAGAAGCCUGCAGUAGUUGAUAUGG
rnacentral:lncRNA from 1 species